GUGGCUUCAGUAGAGACUGUACCACGCCCUCAACAUGACACAACCUACCUCUGGUGUUUCUACAGGGAUGCAGUCUGGCCUACCUGCUACGGCCGGCCCGAUCCAUUCCCAAACUUGAUGCCCUCUGUCCCCAGCAGGAAAAACAGGAAAAAGUGUUGGCUUAAGGUACAACAUCCUAUUGAGGACAUUUUAAGAUAAAUGAAGUUCGUAUUUAGAUGUAGAGUUAAUGAAUAGAAGCAUAUACAAGCAAUCAAUGAAAUGUAUUGUAUACAGUCAUAUGGAAACGUUUGGGCACCCCUCUGAGAAUGCAUAAUAAUUUACUCUGUCGUCACAGAAAAUGAUCACAGUGGCAUGCCAUUCAUUUUCUAAUAAAAGCUGAGUACUGGGGUAUUGUCCAGACAAAGAUUUUUAGUGUGGGCAAUAUUAAGUUGUAUGAAAUUAAAUCAGAUGUGAAAAAUAGGCUAUGCAAAAAUGUGGGCACCCUUGUCAUUCUGUUGAUUUGAAUACCUGUAACUACUUAGCACAGAUUAUUUGGAACACACAAUUGGUUUGGUGAGCUCAUUAAGCCUGGAACUUC
rnacentral:lncRNA from 13 species